AUUGAACGCUGGCGGAAUGCUUUACACAUGCAAGUCGAACGGCAGCACGGGGCAACCUGGUGGCGAGUGGCGAACGGGUGAGUAAUACAUCGGAACGUGCCCAAUCGUGGGGGAUAACGUAGCGAAAGUUACGCUAAUACCGCAUACGAUCUACGGAUGAAAGCGGGGGAUCGCAAGACCUCGCGCGAAUGGAGCGGCCGAUGUCAGAUUAGGUAGUUGGUGGGGUAAAGGCUCACCAAGCCGACGAUCUGUAGCUGGUCUGAGAGGACGACCAGCCACACUGGGACUGGGACGCGGCCCAGACUCCUACGGGAGGCAGCAGUGGGGAAUCUUGGACAAUGGGCGCAAGCCUGAUCCAGCCAUUCCGCGUGCAGGAUGAAGGCCUUCGGGUUGUAAACUGCUUUUGUACGGAACGAAACGGCGAGCUCUAAUACAGUUUGCUAAUGACGGUACCGUAAGAAUAAGCACCGGCUAACUACGUGCCAGCCGCCGCAGUAACAC
rnacentral:rRNA from 1 species